rnacentral:rRNA from 1 species
AUGGUGCUGUGGGUCUUCGGGUAUGGGUCCCUGAUCUGGAACCCCGGAUUCGACUUCGACGAGAAGAUCCUGGGAUUCAUCAAGGGAUACAAGCGAACGUUUAAUCUUGCUUGCAUUGACCAUAGAGGCACACCACAGCAUCCGGCCAGGACCUGCACCCUUGAAUCCGAAGAUGAAGCCAUAUGCUGGGGAAUUGCUUAUUGUGUCAAAGGUGGUCUAGAAAAAGAGCGAGAAGCAAUGCAGUACUUGGAGAGAAGAGAAUGCGAGUAUGACCAGAAGAUCUCUGUGGAUUUCUACAAGGAUGGAAAUUCUCUGGAACCAGCUGUGACGGAUGUAUUAGUUUUCGUAUCCACUCCUGAUCCAGUUGGCAACAAAUACUAUCUUGGCCCUGCUGCUUUGGAGGAUAUGGCAAGGCAAAUUGCUACAGCCAGUGGCCCUAAUGGAUAUAAUAGGGACUACCUGUUCUCAAUGGAGAAGGCACUGUCCAAUAUAAGCCAUGAAGACGACUCGAUCAUUGUGCUUGCGGAUGAGGUGAGGAAGGUGCUGAGCAGGUCGACGGAGAAGAAGGUUACCGGCUCCGACAUACCAUUAAAAUCGCAUACACCUGUUGUGCACAUCUCUGCUCUUCCUGAGGGCACCGUUGCGGUUUCAACAUAG